AGGUUGAAUCAUCAAAUGAAUGAUUAAUUGACCUGUGAGCAAAAGAUAUUGUCUACAGUUUACAAAACCUUCAAGUGUGAAAGUUUCUUGGUCAAUUGGGAUUAGUCCAUGGUUGCUAAGAAUUCAAGAGGAGUGUAUGUGUCCUGAGGAACCGUUUGGCAUCAUGGAGAAAAUGAAGAACAUGUAAUGAGUAAUUCCGAGUGACUUCACAGAGUGAACUGAAAUGUAUCUGACACAAUCAAUGAAAGGAAUGUGAUAUCCCUGCAGGCCCAGUGAGCCCUCACCAUCCAACUGCACCCGUGUGACCAAUUAAUCUGCUAACCAGUGGGAGGAAACCUGAGCACCCGGAGGAAACCCAGGCAGUCAUAUUAUUUUAAACCUGCACUAUGAAGGAAUCAACAGUAAAUCUAACAAAAAAUGGCAUGGUUGGUGAUCCGAGGUAUUGAUUAUCCUGAGAUUCUUUUGACUUGGAUGGAAAUUGAGGUUGGAACUCAAUCCUUUAGAUGGUCGAGUUGUCAGCUCAACACUCAACCCAGCACGGAUGGAAAGCGUACUCGAGAACAGCCCAACUGGAUUCGAACUCGGGAAUCUCCAUUCCAGAGUCCGGCGCUGAUGUCACUGCGCCAGCAGCCGGCCAAUGAGUCCUGCUCAUGAAACAGCUGGAAAUAAUGUUGACCCCCACCUAAGCCACCGCAAUCCAGAUUUUCCAAAACUGUUACGCGUAUAUCGUGCCAUCGGACAUUCUGAAAUAUCUACAAGCUAUGUAAACAAAGUGAAAUGACCAAAGUGCUUGGGAAUAUUUGAAUGAAUUAAAUGAACUAAAUAAGCACACAUGAACUUAAUCACCUGCCAUUGAAACCAGUGGAACUGAAGUUCCUAUGUGGAUUGGAGCGGUUUGCUUAGUGUAGGUCCUGGAUUGUUAUGGUCAGGUCCGAAGUCCACGUCCCGGUUCAUGAUCCGGUCCAUGGACCCCGGAGUUCGGGUCCUUUGACAGCCCCUUGUUUUGCAUUGAACUCAAAUAGUCACACCUGAGGAUCAUCUUGGCUUGUUUGGGCUCAAGAAGGUGCACCUGAUGGUAUCGGUUGGCGGUGUAUAUAAGGGACUCUGGGACUGAGUAUAGUUGGGGGGGGGGGGGUCAUCCUGACUUGGAAUACCCACAGUUAGAGAUGAGUUCUGCUAGUGAGUCUGGAAGUCACACUGGACAGAGCUCCCUUCCUAUCCCUUGCCUCUGUCGGGUAAGCCAGGGAGGACUGCCGUUGCCUGGUGGGGGACUCUGCCCUUCCGAUCCCUCGCCUCCUACUGGUUGUGCCCUGCAACCUGCCCAGGCCCCUUGUGUCCUACCUGGGAGGUCCAGGCCCUGCCCAGGAGUUCUGCAGUCCACCCAGGGGGCUAUCCUCCCAGCAUUCCUAGUCCCUAAAAGUCAUCCUUUAGCCUAGCCUGUUGACCACUCUGAACUCCGGGAUCCUCUCUGAACUCCAGGAUCACCUUGAACACCACGUCCCUCACGCACGCCAUGGUCUCCACAUUUUGUUCUAUCUUUUAGCUGUUCCCGUCCUGCCCCUUGUACUUCAGUGCCUGCGUCCUGCAUUUGGGUCCCGUCUCAUGUCCACUUAUGACCUGGAUAGUCUUUGCAACUUCAUGCUCCCAAGCUGGAUUAUGCUGGAGGAUAAUACUAAAGUGCAGUCCUGUAAAAUACUAUGGGCACCUGGCUGCAGCUUCAGGACUAUGGUGUUUGUGUCUAAAGCUGUAGUUGGCUGCAUAGGCAAGUGCUAUUGUUUACAUUGUUAACUGCCAGCAAAGUUCAGGCCACUGAUAUAAAUGCUGAGCCCUGGACUAAUUUUGGAACUGAACUGCAACAGAUUGCUGUUUCCAGGGAGUUUUUGUUCAACGAUUUCAGGUUGAACCCCAGUCUCUGUACUCCCGCACACUAGUGUUGGUAUAAAGCGGUGGCGAUGUAGCCCUGGUCAAAGUCAUGAAAGUCAUAAUCAUGUUAGUUAGUUCUCUCCUCCUUGAGGGCUAAUAUUGAUUCACCAUGGCUAUUUAUAUUAAUGAAGAAAACCGUGAAAAAGGUACAAUCCUGUCUAUCUAAAGCGAGUUCAGUACAUGAUUGCUCUUUCCCUACCCACACGACUCUCAAAUUUACACUGCAAAUUUAUCAGAUUUCUAGAAUCACUCUAGACUGGACGGACCCACAAUGGUACUCGACAGGAAUUUCUUCGAGCUUAUCUGCGGAAACAGCUUAAUUUCUGCCUUUAUUGUCUU